rnacentral:piRNA from 1 species
AGGACCUCAGAAACCAUGCCGAAACCACAC